ACUAUUUGAUCCCUUGAGGGGAGGAGGAAGAUGUUCCACCGUAACCUGAUUUCUCUCUCCUGAAGACGUCAUCAGGAGGUGUUUCCAGAAUUCAGCCUGACAACACCUGGCACGCCUGGUGAAGCUCUGGGAGGAGCCGACGCGUCCGAGCGGGUACAAAUAGACCCCCCGAUCACCACCCUCUCCUCAGAGUUCACCGACGCCUGAAGCCGACGGCUCCGACCCCGGCCAGGCCACCUCCUCCAUCAUGAAGCUUUCGCUUGUCAUUGGGCUGGCCAUCCUGGCUGCUUCCUGCAGUAAGGGAAGUGCCGCAGUCUGCCCAGCGCUUCUGAAAGAGUUAAAUAUUUAUUUCUACGGUUCAGAGGACACUUUCCGAAAUGACCUCGAGGGAUUCAAUGCAACCGAGGACAUGAUUCAGGCCAAACUUACUGAGAAGAAGUGUACCGAUCAGUUAUCCUUAAAUGAACGGCUUUUGAUUUCAAAAUUCAUGGUAAUUACUUUCUCCCUCCCUCCCUACCCAAUGCCUGCCUGAGCUGGAGCCAGAUCCAAGGCCUGCCCGAGGGAAUAUCGAACGGGGAAAGGGACUGAGGGGAUGGAGGAAGAGCAGAGCAAGAAUGGGUCGAUAAUCUUUCAAUCUCAGUAUCUCCCAUGUCCUGACCCCCAUCCCCCCACCAGACCCCAAGGCAAUAGUACUAAUAAUAAUGGUUAAUUGUUGACUAUGUGCCAGCGCUGUACUAAGCCCUGGAGCAGAUGCAAUAUAAGCAGGUCAGAGUCAGUCUCUGUCCUACCUGGGGCUUAUAGUUUAAAGAGGAGAGAGAACAGGGGUUUCAUCCCCAUUUUGCUGAUGAGGAAACUGAGGCACAGAAGAGUGAAGUGACUUGUCCAAGUUCAACAUCUCUAAGUGGAGAGAGCACGGGCCUGAGGGUCGGAAGGACCUGGGUUUUAAUCCCGGUUCUGUCACUUGUCUGCCGAGGGAGGCUGGGCAAGGCAUUUAACUCCUCCGUGCCUCGGUUACCUCAUCUGUAAAAUAGGGAUUAAGACUGUGAGUCCCACGUGGGACAUGGACUGUGUCCAACCUGAUUGCUGUUUCGUACAGUGCCUGGCACAUUGCAAGUGCUUAACAAAUUCCCAAGGAAAAAAAAAAUUACCUCUGCUGGACCUCUAUUGAAUAUUCCCCAGGCUAAAACACACCUACAGUCUCGGAGAAGUAUGCCUCAGUUUUCUCAUCCAUAAAUUAGGGAUUCAAUUCCUGUUCUCCUUCCAACUGAAAUGAUGAAUCCUAUGUGGGACUGGAAUUGGGUCUGAUCUGAUUGUAUUGCUUAGCAGAGUGCUUGGCACAUAAUAAACACUUAAAUGCAUUAUUAUUAGUAGUAGUAAUUAUUAUUGUUAUUAAUAAUUAGGCAGUGUGCCUGCUGGAAAGAGCAGAGGCCUGGGUUCCAAUCCCAGCUCUAUUUCUUGUCUGCUGUGUGACGUUAGGCUACUCACUUCACUUCUCGGUGCCUCAGUCACCUCAUCUGUAAAAUGGGAAUUAAAACCGAGAGCCUUGUGUGCAACAGGGACUAUGUCCAACCCAAUUUACUUGUAUCCACCACAGCACUUAGACAGUUCCUGGCCCAUAGUAAGUGCUUAACAAAUACCAGGAAUAUUACGGUUAUUAAUUAUUGUUAUCAUCACUAUCAAGGGACAUCAACCUCUCUAAAAUGACUGUGACAUAAACAACCGUUAGUUACUUACGGUAUUUAUUAGGUUGUCACUAUUUGCCAUGCACUGGGCUAAGUAGGAUAAUUAGGCAGAGGAUAAUUAGAUCAGACACAGUACCUUUCCCACCCGAGGCUCAAAAUCCAAAAAGUCUUCCCUGACUAAGCCCCCUUUCCUCUUCUCCCACUCCCUUCUGCAUCAUCCUGACUUGCUCCCUCUAUUAAUCCCCCCUCCCAACCCCAAAGCGCUUAUGUACUUAUCUGUCAUUCAUUUAUUUAUUUCUAUCAAUGUCUGUCUCCCCCUCUAGACUGUAGGCUUGUCGUGAGCAGGGAAUGUGUCCGUUUACUGUUAUAUUGUACUCUCCCGAGCGCUGGGCACAGUGCUCUGCACACUGUACGCGUUCAAUAAAUUCGACUGAAUGAAUGAAUGAACAAGAGGAAGGGACGGUAGGUAGGCAUCUUAUCUCCACUUGAUAAAUAAGGAGACUGAGGCCCGCAAAGGUCAAGUGAUGUACCCAAGGGUGAGCCGAGGUUACAAAAUCGGAACCCUUGCUUUUUCCGCUAGGCCCCUGACUCCCAACUUCAUAAUCUCCGGGGUCGUGGUCAAUAGACUGGGAGGAUUUGGCCGGGUGACCCCGCCAUGUCUAAAUCUUCUUUUUGGCACUGAAUCCAGAUGGGGAAACUCUUUGGAACCUGCUUCAACUGGAAGGGACUGAGUCUGAUGCUUGGGAUGCGUAGAAAUCGACAUAUCGAUACACAACCACGUAGAGACCCACUUCGAGGAGCACGGCUUAGCGGAUAGAGCAUGGGGCUGUGGGUGAGAAGGACAUGGGUUCUAAUCCCGGUUCCACCACUCGUCUGCGGUGUGACCUUGGGCGAGUCAGUUCACUUCUCUGGGCCUCAGUUACCUCAUCUGGAAAGUGAGGAUAAGACUGUGAGCCCUAGGUGAGACAGGAACUGUGUUCAACCUGAUUUCCUUGAACCCAGCCCUGAGCUUAGUACUGUUCCUGGC
rnacentral:lncRNA from 1 species